GGAUUAGAUACCCUGGUAGUCCACGCCGUAAACGAUGAGAACUUGCUGUUGGACCUUUUGAGGUUUAGUAGCGGAGCUAACGCGUUAAGUUCUCCGCCUGGGGAGUACGGCCGCAAGGUUAAAACUCAAAGAAAUUGACGGGGGCCCGCACAAGCGGUGGAGCAUGUGGUUUAAUUCGAUGCAACGCGAAGAACCUUACCUACCCUUGAAUCCUCGGAACCACUCAGAGAUGAGUGGGUGCCUUCGGGAGCCGAGUGACAGGUGCUGCAUGGCUGUCGUCAGCUCGUGCCG
rnacentral:rRNA from 1 species